CAGGCCUGACGAGUGCUUGCGCAUUGCGCAUGCCAUUUCUUUCUGACAGGAAUCAUUCCGCCACAAGCGAACGAGCCUGGGCUGGCCUUGUGGAAGCCUAGCCGAGGCCUCAGAAUAUGGAUGAGAUCAUCUGAGACCAUCCACCCCAGGAAGCCAGCAAAGUGGCUAGAACCCGCCAUACCACCGCAGAAUCACGAUUGCUGUUCUGAGUCACUACAUUUCAGGUGACUUGUUGAGCAGCAAACGAGCUGACGAACCUAAAGUCAGAAGAUGCUAGCGGAAGAAACAGGACCCAGAACUCCAUUGGAAAAUGGGGUAUACAGACUUCGAGGAUGCCAGACAAAAAGAUCAUUUGAAAUAUUGUUGUCACUAAGCCUUCUUUGAUCAAGACACCAUGAGCUCAUGGAACUGGUCCUCUGAAGACAGUGUCUGCAAUGAAGCUGAGUCCUCUCUCUCUCCCAGGCCCGAGUGUCUACCUCUAAUUUAUUCCUGAUGAAUGACAGCAAGUUCACAGCCUCAGGCUAAUGGAAGCACGACAGUGAGCAAGACAGACAAGGUCACUACCCGCAAGGAGCUGUUGAUGGAGAAUAACAUGCAAAGAAGAAGGUAAGAAACUGACCAGAUUGCUUACUGUGAGUGGGAAGGUGGUGAAAAAGUUACAGGUGGAGAGUGCUGAAAAGAGCAAAGAACACAGUAAGAGACGUGAGUAUGGAAACAUGGAGGUAGUAACAGACACCAUUAGGAGAACAGCAGGGGUUGAAGAUCAUGAAUUUACAGUAAAUCAA
rnacentral:lncRNA from 1 species